rnacentral:lncRNA from 13 species
GUGGUGUUGGUAGUAGUAGUAAUGAUGAUGGUAGGGAUAGCAGUUUAGUGAUGGUGGUGGUAGUAGUAAUGAUGAUGGUAGUGAUAGCAGUUUAGUGAUGGUGGUGGUGGUAGUAGUAGUAAUGAUGAUGGUAGUGAUAGCAGUUUAGUGAAGGUGGUGGUGGUAGUAGUAGUAAUGAUGAUGGUAGGGAUAGCAGUUUAGUGAUGGUGGUGGUAGUAGUAAUGAUGAUGGUAGUGAUAGCAGUUUAGUGAAGGUGGUGUUGGUAGUGUCGUGGAAAACCUUAACAAAAUGUAACACUUACAAGAACUUGUGAAUUCAAUAUAGGCUUUUAAUACAAACAUAUCAGAAGCCUAGAUGGUCCGCGGAACACACACUUGUCCAGAGCACUGGCUCUGUUUUUAUACACAUACAACAUAUGAGUCCAUCCCACAUGCAAAUGAAGUUACUUCCCUCAGUCCAUCUGCCACCAUUAUAUCCCAAUCUGUGCAUCCUGCUUCUUCAGCUCGAUAACGCCCAUAUCUGCUUUCAGUCAAGUUAUAAUGGUGACAGGACCUCUUCAUGUCCCAAAAAUAAUACAUGCCCAUCUUAUGCUAUGGGCUCCCUUACGUUCAGCCUGGUGUGUUCUUUGGUAUGUCUGUCCUUAUUAGGACUCUAUAGUCCAUCCGUUGGUCAUUUGGCUGACCCCCUCCUUUGUAUGUCCCUCUGACCUUGGUUUGUCCAGCUGUCCUAUGCUCUCAUGGCCUUACUCUGGCCUCCUGUACUAUACAAUAGAACAUGCAUUUUACCAGAAUUGCAAAUGCACUCUAAGUGUAUCUUUCUCUUGUGUUACAGUAUUAUGUUCCUCCCUAUAUGUACAUCUUUCUCCCACAGUAGUAGUAAUGAUGAUGGUAGUGAUAGCAGUUUAGUGAAGGUGGUGGUGGUAGUAGUAGUAAUGAUGAUGGUAGUGAUAGCAGUUUAGUGAUGGUGGAGGUGGUAGUAGUAAUGAUGAUGGUAGUGAUAGCAGUUUAGUGAAGGUGGGGGUGGUAGUAGUAGUAAUGAUGAUGGUAGUGAUAGCAGUUUUGUGAUGGUGGUGAUGGUAGUAGUAGUAAUGAUGAUGGUAGUGAUAGCAGUUUAGUGAAGGUUGUGGUGGUAGUAGUAAUAAUGAUGAUGGUAGUAAUAGCAGUUUAGUGAUGGUGGUGGUAGUAGUAAUAAUGAUGANNNNNNNNNNGUUUAGUGAUGGUGGUGGUGGUAGUAGUAGUAAUGAUGAUGGUAGUGAUAGCAGUUUAGUGAUGGUGGUGGUGGUAGUAGUAGUAAUGAUGAUGGUAGUGAUAGCAGUUUAGUGAUGGUGGAGGUGGUAGUAGUAAUGAUGAUGGUAGUGAUAGCAGUUUAGUGAAGGUGGGGGUGGUUGUAGUAGUAAUGAUGAUGGUAGUGAUAGGAGUUUAGUGAAGGUUGUGGUGGUAGUAGUAAUAAUGAUGAUGGUAGUAAUAGCAGUUUAGUGAUGGGGUGGUAGUAGUAAUAAUGAUGAUGAUAGUGAUAGCAGUUUAGUGAUGGUGGUGGUAGUAGUAGUAGUAAUCAAAUCAAAUCAAAUGUAUUUGUACAUCAGCUGAUAUCUCAAAGUGCUGUACAGAAACACAGCCUAAAACCCCAAACAGCAAGCAAUGCAGGUGUAGAAGCACGGUGGCUAGGAAAAACUCCCUAGAAAGGCCAAAACAUAGGAAGAAACCUAGAGAGGAACCAGGCUAUGUGGGGUGGCCAGUCCUCUUCUGGCUGUGCCG